rnacentral:misc_RNA from 1 species
GAAGUGCGAUAAGCAAUGCGAAUUGCAGAAUUCCGCGAGUCAUCAGAUCUUUGAACGCAAAUGGCGCCGGAGGGAUAUCCUUCUGGCAUGUCUGUUUCAGUGUCUGAGAGGUUUCACCAACACCUUAAUGUGAUUGACUUAGAGCAGUACGGCAUGCCGCACUAUUCGAGGUCUCUCAUGAAAGAUGCGCGAGUGGAUCUUUCGGUCCAAUGAAGUGGUCACAUCACUCGUAUGUGAUUUCAUUGGAAGCACCGAAUUAUCCGCCAUACUCGCGGUUACAUAAACAUAAACGUAGUUUUUUAGCUGUGUUUCUGUUUGUUCUCUCUCUACACCCUGCAUCUGAGACAGGCAAGAUCACCCGCUGAACUUAA